rnacentral:lncRNA from 1 species
AGGCACCGUGGCGCCUCCUCGCGUUGGUCUUGCUGGUUCUCGGCCCCCGAAGCGGAGCGACGGAGACACAGCUGUGGAAGCAUCUGGAUCCGCUGCCCAGGUCCCCGAGCUUCCCGGAACCCGAGGCCGCAGGACACUGAAGGCUGCCAUUCCCGAGUAGGUCACGCUGGACGCCACCCUAAGCUGGGCCCAGAGGCUCCCGUCCAGGAGGGCUGCAGUCGGCGCAGACACCGCGCGUGUGGGGACGGGAGACCCAUCCUCCUCGGCCGUUCCGAGAGUAGGCGCGGCCGGUCAGAUUCGAUGCAGAGCCGAAUGCGGGAGAAAGGGCAAAACGUCCCUCAAACCAGACAAAGCCUUGUGAGCUUCAGGUUCUCAAAUACCCCACUCACCCAGACCCCACAUCUCCAAUCACCCCCUCGCACCCAAAUCCCAUUCGGAGCCACCGAACUGCACGUGGGACUAGUUCUUGGGAAUGGAUCAAGCCAGUCUCUUCAUCUAACGGAGACAGCCCUGGGUGGCUCUGUCACACAGCCACUGUCUUGUGCACAAGUUCUGAACUUGGCCUCAAAGAAGCCCCAGAGUAGAAAGAAGACAAAAGAAGCCCCAGUUCUUCGAUUCUGGGCUAAAGUGAGAUUUUCUUGAAUGGCAGCCAGUGUUUUGCCUCUUAGGUAAGUGAGUGCAGUAAAGACCGGUAAGGCCCACGCAGAAGAAACACUGAGGAAAGAAGACACUUCCAAAGUAACAAAUGGGAGGAAGCAGCCAACGCCCGAGGACAACAUGGCAAGAAGGAGCCUUUGGAUUCCGGACUGGGAUGGAAAGAGAGUUGAUUGAAUCCCGGAAUUUGGAAACCCCAGAUACGGAGGGCGGACGGUACAACCGGAGCUGUCAGGUGGAUUUCCAAGGCUUUGCAUUGGCUGUACCUGAAACUUAUGGUGGCCUAGACUCCCCAGUAUCCACUCUUCCUUAUCUUGAGUCUCACUCUUUUGCCCAAAUUAGAGUGCAAUGACACGAUUUCGAC